GUCAUAAAGAACAUGAAGGUCAAAACAUAGCUGUGAGAAGGAUGAGAAGGAUGAACAGGGAUGUGAGAUGAGGUAGAGAAGAGAGGAGCUGUGAGAAGGAUGGGAAGGAUGAACAGGGAUGUGAGAUGAGGUAGAGAAGAGAGGAGCUGUGAGAAGGAUGGGAAGGAUGAACAGGGAUGUGAGAUGAGGUAGAGAAGAGAGGAGCUGUGAGAAGGAUGGGAAGGAUGAACAGGGAUGUGAGAUGAGGUAGAGAAGAGAGGAGCUGUGAGAAGGAUGGGAAGGAUGAACAGGGAUGUGAGAUGAGGUAGAGAAGAGAGGAGCUGUGAGAAGGAUGGGAAGGAUGAACAGGGAUGUGAGAUGAGGUAGAGAAGAGAGGAGCAGUGAGAAGGAUGGGAAGGAUGAACAGGGAUGUGAGAUGAGGUAGAGAAGAGAGGAGCUGUGAGAAGGAUGGGAAGGUUGAACAGGGAUGUGAGAUGAGGUAGAGAAGAGAGGAGCUGUGAGAAGGAUGGGAAGGAUGAACAGGGAUGUGAGAUGAGGUAGAGAAGAGAGGAGCUGUGAGAAGGAUGGGAAGGAUGAACAGGGAUGUGAGAUGAGGUAGAGAAGAGAGGAGCUGUGAGAAGGAUGGGAAGGAUGAACAGGGAUGUGAGAUGAGGUAGAGAAGAGAGGAGCUGUGAGAAGGAUGGGAAGGAUGAACAGGGAUGUGAGAUGAGGUAGAGAAGAGAGGAGCUGUGAGAAGGAUGGGAAGGAUGAACAGGGAUGUGAGAUGAGGUAGAGAAGAGAGGAGCUGUGAGAAGGAUGGGAAGGAUGAACAGGGAUGUGAGAUGAGGUAGAGAAGAGAGGAGCAGUGAGAAGAGAGGAGUGUAAUGAGGAAGAGUGGAUGUGUGAGAAAGAGAAAGAGAGAGAGAAAUACACACAGGGGGGUACAUAAUUCUGCUGUUAACUCAGAGGGGUGUUGUGAGGGAGAGAGUGAGAGAGAGAGUGAGUGAGAGAGGAUUAGAGGAAAAGAGAAGGCCUGAGAUGAGAGAAGAAAAUCAGACAUUUCUUCCAACAUUCUUCCAAUUUCAUCUGUUUGUCCUCAUGUCCUCUCUCUCAAUCCCACUCCCUCUCUCUCCCUUUCUCCCUGUCCUGGACAAAACAGGAUGAUUAUACUGCAGACUUGAGCUGCAGAACAAAUCACAUUUAGUGAUGGAGAGUGUGGAGAUAGAACCAUGCGGGAAUGAGAGAUACCCCCUGAGUCAGAGAGAGAGAGGCAGACAGACAGACAGACAGACAGACAGACAGACAGACAGACAGACAGACAGACAGACAGACAGACAGACAGACAGACAGACAGACAGACAGACAGACAGACAGACAGACAGACAGACAGACAGACAGACAGAGAGAGAGAGAGAUAGAGAGAGGCGGACAGAGAGCAGGAGUCUUGCAGAAUGGAAGGAAAGUAUCACAAGUUUAGAGGCUAGAUGAUGGAAGAGAGACAUGGAUAGAGGGACGCAAGUAAAAGAGAGUGAAUAUGCACAGAGAAGAAGAGAGGAGGAAUGAGAGAUGAAGGUAUAGAAGGGGCAUGGGGGAGUAGUACAGGGAGAAGGUGAGGGAACGAGGGAGUAAGUGAAAAGGAAGAGGGAGGUAUUGAGAUUAGAGGAAAAUAGAAUACAGCAGGGGGAAAUGAUGAGCUCUAAGGACCAACAGGAAGAGAGGGAGGGAGGGAGAGAGAGAAGAGGAAAACAGAAUGAGACCAAUAAGCGACCAGAGAUUUUUUUAUUGUUUAUUUGACUUUUGUUUAUUAUCUAGUUCACAUGCUUAGGCAAUGUAAGCAUAUGUUUCUCAUGCUGAUAUAGCCCCUUAAAUUGGAGAGAGAGAGAGAGAGAGAGAGAGAGAGAGAGAGAGAGAGAGAGAGAGAGAGAGAGAGAGAGAGAGAGAGAGAGAGAGAGAGAGAGAGAGAGA